rnacentral:rRNA from 1 species
GAUGAACGCUGGCGGCGUGCCUAAUACAUGCAAGUCGAGCGAACGGACGAGAAGCUUGCUUCUCUGAUGUUAGCGGCGGACGGGCGAGUAACACGUGGAUAACCUACCUAUAAGACUGGGAUAACUUCGGGAAACCGGAGAUAAUACCGGAUGAUAUUUUGAACCGCAUGAUUCAAAAGUGAAAGACGGUCUUGCUGUCACUUAUAGAUGGAUCCGCGCUGCAUUAGCUAGUUGGUAAGGUAACGGCUUACCAAGGCAACGAUGCGUAGCCGACCUGAGAGGGUGAUCGGCCACACUGGAACUGAGACACGGUCCAGACUCCUACGGGAGGCAGCAGUAGGGAAUCUUCCGCAAUGGGCGAAAGCCUGACGGAGCAACGCCGCGUGAGUGAUGAAGGUCUUCGGAUCGUAAAACUCUGUUAUUAGGGAAGAACAUAUGUGUAAGUAACUGUGCACAUCUUGACGGUACCUAAUCAGAAAGCCACGGCUAACUACGUG